AAUGCUGGGUUGUUUUGUCAACCCAAGUGCUGAAUAACAGCUGUUGGGUAAACGUGUUGGGUUAUUCUAAUGCAGUGUUGGGUUACUCUAACUCAAUAUUGGUACAGUGGGGAACAUCUAUGCUACUCUACUGAUUGGGUUAUUAGUUAGGUUACACAAUAACCCAGCUCACUGGUUUAUUGUACCCAACACUGUGUUGCCCUGCUACGUUUGAAAUCAGAGUUCCCUGCAGAUAACGUUCUUUCUGCCUGCCCGCCCUGGAAGAAGUGAACUGACCGGAGUCUUCAACAAAAAUGAAGCUAUGAAAAAAUGGAAGGAGACGUCCAGGACUGAACAGAGCUGUCACCUGUCACAGUGCAGUGCACCGACUGACUGACGCUAUUUGCUUGGAUGUUGCUGAAAGAAAGGAGGCAUUCUUCAUUGUGCAGCACUAGCCUACUGUGGAGGCCGAGAGAGUUUUGACGAGGCUUCUGUACCCAGGAGGCGGAGGCAGCAAUGCCAGCUUCAAUGCGCACAGUCCUUUAAAAGGGACACCCAGCUAAGAUUUUAUUGCAAAUUCUACACAGAAUGCACUGCUCUAUUUGGUUUUGGAAACACUGUGUAUUAUUGUAAGUGUACACCAGGGGUGGGGAACCUUUUUCAUUUGAAGGGCCACUUCAAAUUACUCUGAGGGCCGUGAAAGUCCUCCGAGGGCCGUACAAUUAACACAAACUAGGAUUUCCCCCUGCACUCUAGGCCUAUAUGGAAUGCAGCCACCUUAAAACAGACCUUAACUUCUAUAUGUCCCCUGAAUAUUAUAUUGUAUUGCAAAUGUUUCUUUUACAAAAUAUGCCAUAUUUCAUAUGAAGCUGCAUAAUAUUAAAAUUGUCUCAGGGGCCGCAAACGGCCCUCCAGACAUAGGUUCCCCACCCCUGGUUUACACCAGCAAAUUCAUGGUGACACUACAAUGACCUCAGCUAUUUGGUUGUUUCUAGUGUUUAGGUACUGUCACAAAGCAGUCUUACAAACACAUUUAUUUAUCUCUGUAUCAACAUUGAGGUUCUCAUAUAACCUUUCCCCAUUCUAUUCCCAAGUAAAAAUGUGCUCAUAGAAACAACUUGAAGGCAUAAUGCCCUUCACUUUCAACAUGGGUCUUCUUUGUAAACUUUGAAAGUGUAUAUUGAAAAAGUAGGCUGUAUUAUUUCUCUAUAUUAGUAAAUAAUGAGUUUUCCAUAAUGUGCAAUGCUUGAAAGUGUUUCCCAGUGUGUUGUUACCCUAUAAUUUUUCAAUUUUUUGUGUCCAUGUUUUUGAAUAAUAUCCCUUCCUGCCUUUUUUGACUGUAUGAUAACAUGUCUGUUAUAUUGCUCUAUUUUAUAUUUAAAUGCAAUCCUCUUUGUUGUGUGAAAAGUGUGAAAACAAAAUGGGACAAUAAAAUCAAUGUAUUGCACAAACUGGUGUGCUUAUUUUGCACAGCCUGUGUCACAUAUAAUAA